UACGUAGGGUGCGAGCGUUGUCCGGAUUCAUUGGGCGUAAAGAGCGCGCAGGCGGCUUGGUAAGUCGGAUGUGAAAUCCCGAGGCUCAACCUCGGGUCUGCAUCCGAUACUGCCCGGCUAGAGGUAGGUAGGGGAGAUCGGAAUUCCUGGUGUAGCGGUGAAAUGCGCAGAUAUCAGGAAGAACACCCGUGGCGAAGGCGGCUCUCUGGGACGGUACUGACGCUGAGACGCGAAAGCGUGGGGAGCGAACAGG
rnacentral:rRNA from 1 species